ensembl:snRNA U6 U6 spliceosomal RNA
GUGCUCGCUUCGGCAGCACAUAUACUAAAAUUGGAACGAUACAGAGAAGAUUAGCGUGGCCCCAGCACAAGAUGACACACAAAUUCGUGAAGCGUUCCAUGUUUUU